UUAGAGGAUUGGGAGAUGUUAACUUGCAUACUUGGAGGAUUUGAAGACUUCACCUUGCAUAUUUAUAGGAUCUGAAGACUAUAAGU
rnacentral:pre_miRNA from 1 species